AAAUUUGAAAAUGCAGUACCUGAAAAGUUUAGAGAAUUCUCUAUCUUAAUUUUGCUGACCACUGAGCCUAAUGAGCCGCCCGAGCUCUCACGUGGACGAAACUAGUGCUGGGCCCCAGGAUCACUCAAUUUCUGUGGACUUUCUAGCUGUGCAAAGACCUUCUCUCCCCUUCAAUGCACACUUUGGCUGGAAACCAGACCUGGGACUGGGCGCGUAUUUUGGAUGUUGUGUUAAACUCAAGGACUAUACAUUUUGCUGUUUCCUGGAGUGGCUGUUGCUAAAUAUGUUGUGGCAUGUGGGACGCUGCCUCAGCGUGGUUUGAUGAGCAGUGCCAUGUCUGCG